AUAGUGAGGGUAUCUGCUGUUUGGUGGAUGGACAUUUGGCAGCUGUGGGUCUCCAGUUGCUCCACUACUGCUGCACGCCCAUCUCCCCUUUCCUCCCACAGCAAAGUGUUUCUCAGAGGACAGCCUUCCUAACACAAUUGAUGUUGGGGUGAUGUUGCCUGUUUUCGCUCCUGCCCGGCUGACCCCAGCACUGUCCCUUUGCCCUUACAGUCUGUGAAUGAAUUUCUGGAAUCCGUCGGAGCCCCCCUGGAAAUCAUCGAUGGCUUCAUUGACAGCAUUGCCGUAACCAUCCCUUGGUCUGCCUUGGUGACGGAGAACUGCACGGUGGAAGUGAGCGGCCUGCAGAUCACGUGCCGGCCCAAGUAUCGGAGUGCUGCCUCUGGCUCGGAGUCGCAGAGCUGGGCAUCAUGCAUGACCACAAGCAUGCAGCUGGCACAGGAGUGCCUGAAGGAGCAGACCGAAGAGCCGUCGGAUACUCCCCAGCCCCUGGAGGGUCUUGAGAUGUUUGCACAAACUAUCGAAACCGUUCUUCGGAGGAUCCAAGUGACCUUUCUGGACACAGUGAUACGUGUCGAACACGAGCCUAACGGAGGGCAGGCCAGUAUGGCCCUUGAGGUGCAUAUC